GGUACAGAUGAUGUUUUCAUAGCGAUCAAAGACUGAUAUUUCAUGAUUGCACUUUUUUCUUACUGAUGUACC